rfam:Odoribacter laneus CAG:561 genomic scaffold, scf302
GGGGCAGACAUGGCUUUGACAGCAUGAAGAAUAGGUAUGUAAGCAUGUCGGGAGCAGUGAAACGGCCCGUAAAUCCCGGACACAAAACAUUAAUUGGCGAAGAAAAUUACGCUCUUGCUGCCUAAUCGAAGUAUAGUAGAGGUGGCUUAAUCUCUGUUCAAGGAACGGAGACAAGACAUCCCGCCGGUGGUCCUACCUUAUUCCGGCCGGCAUACGGGGUGCAGUCAAUAUAAGGUUAGCCCGAGUCUGCUUCGGACAAAAGGCGAAAAUUCAGAAGCUAAGCGAUGGCUUGGGUGUCUCUUUCCGGACCAUCGUCGAAAAUCAAUAAGCGACUAAGCAUGUAGAAAGCAUAUGGAUUCCGUGUUUGGACCAGGGUUCGAUCCCCUGCUGCUCCACUU